AUACUUACCUAAAAUAGGGGAUGCCGUGAUCAUGCAGUUGCAGGUGUUUCCCCCAGGGCGAGGCUGCUCCAUUGCACUGCGGAGUGGUUGACCCUUGCGAUUAUUUUUAUUUUUAUCAAUAAAAAAAUCGUAAUAGAAAAUGUGUACCCGAAUAAUUAUUUUCUUUAUA